UCGAAGCAAAAUUUACAUCAUGCAACAAAGCUGGCCGAAAUCUCCUUCUUGACAAAUGCAUAUUUCAGCUCCUGGCAAUAAUGGUGAACAACCAUGUUACUGGAAUUUGCAGGAAGUGUUCCAGCAUUCUGAGAUUUCGACAGAACACAAUAGCAGGAUGGCACGGUAGGAUAGAUAAAGAGUUUUUCAUGUAACUCGAAAUGUCGUUGCAGUUAUGCAGAAUCGAUGAAUUUUUUUUUUCUUUCUCUCAAAUUAGUUCCACUCACUCUUCAGCAAGGCAUUAAGCCAUCAACCGAACAAGGAUUCAUCAUGCGCUACACGGGUGGUCUUUCUCAUGAUCUCAUCAUCCCAUGAAUAAUUCAGCAUGUGGGAUGGAGAAUCUUGAAUGGGCAGCUCAGUUCUGAAUUUUUCUCAGGGAGCCAGCACUAGUCCAGCCCAGUCUUGAGUUAUCGACGAGUGGGCUGAUUUUGAGAACAAUCGAAAAAUUCAAAGCACAGAAAAAGGAAAAAAAGGAAAAAUGUUAUAUGCUCACACAUUUCAGAAUUCUUUUAUGCUCGCUCUCUGUAGUUGACUUCAGAUACAAUGAAACUGGGGAUGGGCAGCAAUGUGCAGAUAUCACAUAGGGGCGCGCGGAUAUUAUUUUUUUUAAAAAAUAAAUAAAGAUUUCCGGUCAGAAUUGGGUCAGCAAUUCAGAAUAAGGAGCAUAUGAGGUAUUUCUGCCUAAAUAGUUUGGGGUUCAAAUUGAAAUCCACCCUUGGACAUUUUGUCGAAAGUAUUCUGCCUAAAUAGUGAAAUAGGAAACAUAUAAUAUCUUUAUUGAAAAUUAACAUCUGUGAUAUUGAGGGCCUUGAAAAAAUACCAUACUUAAAUUUUCUAACAAGAAAGUUUACUUUUUUAGGUGAUUUACAUGUCUCAAAUGUGAAAACAUAGAUGACAUAAACAAUUUUUACAUCCUUAACGUUGCCAACAAUUUAAGUAUUGGACAAGGGCAACUACACUCCCAAGAUUUUGGAAAAUAUAAUUUUUUUUCCUCUAGAGUAUAGGUAUCUUUAGUGAGGUCAUUCCCAAAAAAUAUACAUAUGUACAAUUGUGCAGACAUGAAACUAUUAUGGGUCUAUUUAUCUAUUUUGUAAAUAAUUGAGGCCAAAUCGUAAAAUAAUAAACACAUGGUGAGUAAUGUAAUUCAGACGACAGAGGGUAAAAACGUAAAAUCUCGGCCUAGAAAAUGGUCAAAGUUAGAAAUUGGAAAAACUAUUUAGCGCGAAGUUGAAAAUCAUUAGUAAAAUGGAGGCUUCUUUUCAAGAAAUUUAGCACGAUGCCUCGCGACGAGAGUUGUAACCGAGUCAAGUCAAACUCGAAAAAGGAUACUUGAACUAGAGCAAAUAGUAUUAUUGAAACUCGAGGUUGAACUCAAUGAUUGCUCAUAGAACUCGAGCCUUCUCAAGUUCGAGUCAGAAAUAUUUAUUUUCCUUGACAAUUUUUGAGCAAAAAAAUAUUAUUGUCCUUUAAAAAUUUUAUACGACUUGAAACAUUUCAUAAAUUCAACCAUUUUUUUUGAUAUAAGAAUUUCGUAGUAAUAAUAAUAUAUUAAAGAAUUAAAAUUAAAAAACUCGAUAAGAUUUCGACGAGCUUUGAGCAUUGUAUCUGAAACUCGAAUUCGACUCACAUUCAAUUAAUUCGAAUUCGACACUUUCAAGGCAUUUUACAACUCAACUGCUAACUCUCGCGCGCGAGCUACACUCGACUCCCCUAACUUUUUAAUUCCAGUUCCAGGUGUGAAGAAGAGUGAACUCAAACAGUCCUUUGACUAUUCAUGUCCGUCAUCAUCAUCGUAAUCUCCCUACAUUUAUUAUUUAUCAAUCCCAAACCAAAGAAAUUUGCCAUUUUUGGUCUGACCCUCUUCUCUCAAGGUAAUCUCACUCUCAAUCUUCAUCUUGAUUCCACAAAGUUCAUUUUUUUCCCACUUUUCUUGGAUUGAAAUUGGUUAAUUUAUCGUCAUGGGAUUAAAGGGAUUUCUACUCUUACGUCGCUGCUUACGUACAUACUAUUUCGUUUGUAUAAAAUGAUGGUUUUGGAAUUUCUUACGCCAGUUUAUAGUAAAGUUGCCUUUUCUUCUAUUAAGUACCUAAUGAUAGAUAGCCGCUGACAUUGUUAAGCUCUUGGACUAUUCAAAGUUUUGCCCUUUUAAUGUUUAGUAAUUUUCUACCGACUUUUGCUUACAUGCUUAUCACAUUCUUGUUUGUAUACUAAAUUUUGUGCGUGUGCGUGUGCGCCUGGAUUUCUGGGUGGCUUUUUGUUUUUGUUUUGUUCUUGCUUGGCAGGAUUAAUAAGGUGAAAUUUGAAGGCCCUUUAAGGUUUAUUGAGCUUAAUUUUGGAAAGGAGGGUGAAAUAGGUAUAGGAAGCAGCUAAUUGUUAGAGCCUGCAUACUAAAAGAAGGGAGGCAAAGGUUGUUUAGAAAAUGACUUGGACUAGAAAGCGUUUGGAUGGUUGUGAUAGAGGAAAUGGAGCUGAGGGAUCAUCUGGUAGUCAGAGGAUCAGUGAAGAAAAUAGUUAUCUUAAUCAUGAGAUAGCGCUACUCACAAAAUAUACGUCAACUGCGCAUGAACGUUUCAGAAAAGUGGUACCGGGUAAGGCAAGGUUGCCCGUUUCACCUGUGCAAAUGUUGGUGGGAAGGGAAGGGAAUUAUUCUGGGAGAGGGAGAUUCUCAUCAGGAGACUGUUGUCAUGUUUUGAGUCGGUAUAUGCCUAUUUAUGGUCCUUCAGUGGUUGAUCGAAUGCCAAGUGGUGCAUAUGUUUCACAAUUUUCAGAAGAUGGUUCUCUGUUUGUUGCUGCAUUUCAGGUAUUGAUGACAUUUGUUCUGUUGAAAGUUGAUUGGUCGAGGAAGAUUUAGAAAGGGCCUUUUCCUUAUUGGUAUUCAUUGAUUUGGCUAAUGGGAUUUUUUCUUUUCCUGAACAGGAAAGUCAGAUUAAAAUAUAUAAUGUUGACAAGGGAUGGAGACUGCAGAAGGACAUUAGAGCUAGAAGCUUGCGAUGGACAAUCACUGAUACAUCCCUAUCCCCAGAUCGUCGUUUUCUUGUAAGUUUUCGGAAUUGCAUUCAGAUUGAGCAUGGGUAGUUCGUUGAUAUCAGGAUUGGAAGUAAAGUACUAAAGGCUUGGAAAAGUAGGAGUGAUUUUUUGUAAGGAGCACCAACGUUUUGCCACCAACUGUUAAUAGGACUGUGAAAAGUUCAAUGCUUUUGUCUUGACAAGUGUAUAUUUGCAAUUAUAUGGGCAUAUUGUUAAUCCCACAAAGUCAUUUCCUUUAUGUAAUGGGAAGGGUUGCUUUAUAUCUCACACUGAAUUUUCCUACAAAUUGCGCAUUUUUCUCUUGGGUGUAGUAAUUUUAGUCAUUUAAGUUGUUUUCAGAACACAUCCAUUGCUUUAUAUUUAGUAAGCAAAAAUAGACAUUUUUGAAAGAUCUUAUUAGUGGCUUGCAACUUAUGUAUCCUUUUUGUGUGUUGGUUUGGCAUUUCGUUUGGUAAUUAACAUCAUUGGUAAACUGCCACUUCAAAUUCUCUUUUCUAUUCUCUGAUAAGGUUUUAGUUCAUUUGACAGGCUUACUCAAGUAUAUCUCCCAUAGUUCAUAUUGUUGAUGUUGGAUCUGCUGCAACAGAAUCUCUUGCAAAUGUUACGGUAUGUUUUGAAAUUCUACUAUUAUUAAUUUCAGAAACAAACUGGAAAGAAAAAAUCUUUAUUUUGGAGCACGAAUCUUUUAGUUGCUUAUGAUUUAUAUCUAUUUGGAAUAUCUUUUGUCUCGUCUAUAGUUGUGCAUCUACCUCAUACCUUAUGGACUGUCCUUUGAGAGAAUGGGAAGUAUGGUAAUUUUCAGUUUGAAUUUCUUAGAAGGAAACUUUUUCAACUGGAUCCAAAAUUUAGAAAUUAAGGUAUUUAAAUAUUAUUUGUAGUCGCAUAGGUAUAACUUGUCUGCAUUUAUUUAGUUGGAAAGUUAGAUUAUCAGGCUUUUCCACAAGACUAGUGAGGAGUGGAGCCAACUAAAGCUCUAAUUGUUUAUCAAAGCCUCUUACCUUCAUACAUCUGCUGGGAUAUUGGAGGCUUGAAGACCCUAAUUAAGCGUAUGGGAUGCAAUAGAUACACUUCCUAAUGAGUUCCUUCUUGCUGCUUCCUUUUUGCAGGAAAUUCACGAGGGAUUGGAAUUUUCUUCAGAUGCUUCAGACUAUGAUGAGUAUUCUUUUGGAAUUUUCUCCGUGAAAUUCUCAACAGAUGGCAGAGAACUUGUGGCUGCUAGUAGUAAUAAUUCCAUUUAUGUUUAUGAUCUCAAAGCAAAAAGGCUGAGCCUCUGCAUUCCAGCUCAUGAGGUAUUAGACCUUGUAAUUUUAGUAAGUUAAUAUAUUAGAGGUGCAAUUUGCUCCAAGUCCCAAUGGGUUACCCAUGUCCAUUUGAGACUUUGGGCGGGAUGGGUAUUAGAAUUUGAUAUUUGGGUUUAAAAUGGGACAAAUCCCAAUUGUACCCCAUUAUAAUGAUGGAAAAUUUUGGAAAAUGCUUGGGUACCCAUUGGGCUCAAAUAGCAAGGGCUCCGUUUGGAUUAAUUAUAUUUGGCGGGGGUGUUUUUGAAAUAUUUUAUUGUAGUAGUGUAUGUGAAAAAAUUUUUACUAUAAAAUUUUUUUGAAAUAUUUGAUAUACUAAUAUGGAUUGGAUGUUUUUUUGAGUUAUUGUAUAUUAUCUGUAAUUGUAUUUGAAAAACUUAUUUUUUUGAAAAAAUAGCCAAUCCAAACGGAGUCUUAGAUUCAAAAAAUUAUCUUUAACAAUUUUUAUAGUCAUGAUUGUAUAUCUAUCUUUUCCUUUAUUUGUUAAUCCAAUUUUUGGUGAUAAUCCUGAGUAUAAAAAGCACUUGCAUGUUUAUUUAAUAAAACUAAAAGAAAUUUAAUAAAUCAAAAAUAUAUAUAAAAAAUAAAUUAAAGGAAAAAAAUAUGUAGAAAAUAGAUUUGGGUAUUGGCGCGGGAUCAAUCUAAACCAUCCCAAAGUGAUCCCGCCCAAGUUAGUUCCAAAACACAUAUGGGUAAGGUUGGGCCCAAACCCAUAUAACUCGGUUCCAUUUUAAACCCAAGCAAAUCCCGCCCAUCCCGCCCAUUUUGCCACCUCUAGUUAAUAUAUCUGCUUCCAGUGGUGGAUUCCGCAGGAUAUAAUUUGACAGUGGUGUUCGAGAUAUAGAUUUUUUAAUAGUAUUAUCUGGAAGUAAGCAGAGCUUUUUCUCAUUCUGUCAACUCUUAGGGCAUGAGAUUCAGUGCCUUCUCUGGUCCAAGUGUUGCAAACCUGUGCCUUUUUGUUGAGUAAGGUUGAUAACAAAGUGUCCUUUUUUUUCCCUUUUUUUUUUGGGGGGGGGGGACCAAUCUUGAUUUUCCAAACAGUGUUUAACAUUUCCUUGUCAUUCUUUUUCUUUUUGUUAUCUCUUCCUAUUAGUUUUUCCAUUGGGGUUGGGCAGGGGGAGGGGGGGUGGACACGGUUCAAUUAUGGACACUGGAAAAGGUAACGCCCAAGAUAUUUAUGGAUAUCUGCCUUAUUUCUGUCAAAUGGUAGCUCAAAAUUUUCCUAAUCUUUUCUCUGUUGAAGAAAAGCUGCUUACACUGCUAUAUUGCAGUUUAUGGCAGUCAAGAGGCCCUUUAGAGGUCCAUAUAGGAGGGAUGUUCAUACGUGUGAGUGUUACUUUGCGUAUUUCUUGUGAUAAGGUUUAGUUUGUUUGUUCCAUAUGCAUAGAUGAAUUGAGCUAAGGACAGAGUAACCUUGCUCGUUUUGGCUUCUUCAAUUUUCAGUCCCGUAUGUAUUCCCAGAUUGUUCUUGUGCUUUAUACGUUAGGAGUAACCAAAAUGUAUUUGGAGUCCUUGAAUUGUAUUCACUUAGCUGUUUAAUACAAGGAUUAUCCCAAAAUUGGUUUAGAGUGAAACUCCAUUAGCUUAUAUGUAUGGAUUAUUGUGGGCAUCUGAUCAUACAAAGACAUGAGUAUAUUUCUUUAUUCUUGUCAUUGCAGUCUGAUGUGAACGCUGUGUGCUUUGCUGAUGAGACUGGUCACCUGAUAUAUUCUGGGAGUGACGAUUGCCUCUGUAAGGUAACUUUCUUUCAAAGCAUUUAUAAGGUGUAAACAUGCAAAAUGCUUGCAGCUUUUCUGCCCUGCUGUUACUAUUAUUUGACAGGAUGAGAAAGCUGAAUUGUCUCAUUUAACAUGGGAACUGUUAGUAGAUGUUGUGAUUGCUACUUUUUGGGCAAUGCUUUUGCAUCAUUAGAAUAGAUUUACAUAUUCAUAUUUGGAAGAGAUGCACGACAUACCAUAUUCAAUGUUUCAGCUUGACUAAGCCAAAAAUUUUGGCAAAAUGGGAAUUUUCUUUUGAUAUAUAAAAUUUUAUAAUGAGUUCAGGUUUGGGACCGUCGUUGCUUUGCCACAAAAGGGAAACCAGCUGGAGUCCUUAUUGGACAUCUGGAAGGAAUUACUUUCAUUGAUACUCGUGGAGAUGGCCGUUACUUGAUCUCAAAUGGAAAAGAUCAGGUCAUCAAGCUUUGGGAUAUUCGCAAGAUGUCUUCAAAUGCUGAUUAGUAUGUGCAUUCUUCCACGUUCACUAAUAUCAUAAAAAAUUCGAGUCUUGUCUUUGAUUUUAGUCUCUGUGUUUGGAAUGGUUUUAAUGGCCGUAUGUUUCAUCCAGUUGUUGGCUUUCUUCUCCUCUUCUCAUUUAUGGGUUUGUCAAAUGACUAUUGCAUGGGCCAGAAGAUAUGUUCUUUUAUUAAGGUCAAAAUGUAUAAGAGUUCAAUGCUCAUAUGUUUCCAACUUUGAUUGCAGCGUACAAUGGCGUAGAGAUUAUGAUUGGGAUUACAGAUGGAUGGAUUAUCCAGAGCGUGCAAAAAAUUUGAGGAAUCCAAACGACCUAUCAUUGACUACCUAUAAAGGCCAUACAGUUUUGCGGACUCUCAUACGCUGUUAUUUCUCUCCAGCUCAUAGGUAAAUGGCUCAUACGCUGUCUGCAUCUACCUGUAAAAGGAACUUCUAUGGGAAGGGCACUCCAUGAGGGCGUAAUUUCACUUCUGCCUAACAUUUCUAAGGGAAAGAAAAUUGUUGAGACAAAAACUAAAUCCUUUCUUUGUCCUCUUAACUGUGUUAUUAAUUAUCAUUUUAAUCUUGGCACCAGAGUUAGAAUUUCUUCUAUAUUAGUUUUGACUAGUGCACUUUUGAGUUUUAGGCCAUAUACGUUUUAGCUUUUGAAACGAAGAUCUUGAUGUCCACCUUCCCCCGCUCUGCUUUCUCCUCCUUUUGUUUUCCCUGUUAUUACUGUCAAAGUCAAUUGAAUCUUUUGUCACUUCAGCUUAGAAGUUUCAAACUUGUCUCAUAACCAAUUGUCGUUUGAGCAUCAAUCUCUUGCGAUGUCGGAGUUGGGAGGCUCUGUUAUGUCCUGGGCAAUUAGAAUGAUCUAAGUUCCCAUGCAUGGGUGUGGUGUUAUAAUUAAAUUGAGGGACAGACUGCGUGGAACUAUUUUGUCAAUUCUUGGUUAAUGAAACUGCUGGACCUUUUUCCUAAGAACGACAUACGGGAUGUUCUUUUUUACAUAUGUGACUUCUCAGUGGCAAACUGAUUGAAUAUCCAAAGUGAAUUUUUGCAGCACGGGGCAAAAGUAUAUCUACACUGGAUCUACAGAUUCUGUCGUAUAUAUUUAUGAUUUGGUACGUCUUCAUUCUCAUUUGAUGCUGUCUUACUGGAUCUUUUUGGUUCACCUUCUUUGUUUUCCUCCUAUAUGCAUGAGCUGGGAAGAUGACCGUCUUGGUCCUGUUCUGUAGGUGAGUGGAGCUCAAGUUGCAAAACUUGAUUUCCAUGAAGGGCCUGUAAGAGACUGCAAUUGGCACCCCUAUUACCCUAUGAUUGUCAGUUCUUCAUGGGAUGGAGUUCUUGCCAAUUGGGAGUUCCCUGGCAAUGGUGAAAUUUCUGUGCCUACAAGGCGAAACAGAAGAAGACGGCGGGCUCUAUACUGAACAGCAUUUCCGGUCUUGGAAAAUAUGACUAUACUUGUCAAUUACUAGCAUGUAUCGGAAAUUUUGUGCGGAAAGUUGAGUUAUCAAAUUAGCAUACAUCUCAAAUUUUGAUAUUGAUGCCGAUGGCUGUAUAUAUAUAUAUAUAGUUUCCUUGAGACGGAAUUCUUUUGACAUGAACAAUAGGAAAUACAAUGGUCAUAAAUUGUUUUCCUUUUCUUUUCAUUUUGGACAAGGCAUGGCCUUGAGACGGAUGGUAAUUAGUACUUGCUUGUUUUGAGCAACUUACUCCAUAACUUCCUAAUCACAAACCAUACCUAUUAUUAACAGCAACAAAAACAAAAUCAAGAAUGGUAAUCUAUCUAUCUAAUUAGCUGAUAUCCACCCCGGCUAUUCUUUUGAUUGUUACACGAACAAGCUCUUACAAGAACAAACUCAGAUUAGCUUUGUCAUGGUUUGACUCUUACCUCUUUGCAAUAUUCAAGUAAGAGAGCUUGAAGUACAUUUAUCAAUGCGGCAGAGAUGCAGUUUCAUACCAAGUAAGCUAGCUCAUAAAUUCAUUUAAUAUCAUGGAAAAUUUUGUUUUUUUUUUUUGAGAGUAUUUGUUUGGAUGGGCCCUUAUUUGCCAAAAAUGCUUUUGAUUGCAUUUUUAAAAAAUUACCUUCUUAUUUCGUGUAUGUUGUGUCACAAAAAAAAAAAGUGAUAGUAUUAUUUUUUAAAAAAAAUUUUCAAAUAAUCUUUAAUCAAAACACAUUUGUGCCACAUGAUAAAAAUGCACUUAUGCAACUAAUAAUUUGUCUCAUGUUAUCGUUUGGACAAAAAAAAAACUAAUAAUUUGUCAAAACGAAUUAGAAACUAUUAAAAAAUAUAAAUAGAUCUAAAGUUCUUGAUAUUAAAAGUGGAAGAAAAUUCAUUAAUAGAUAACAACUAAUCAAAUAAAUAUUACCCUGUCCGGUCUUAACAUAAACACAUAUGAAAUGAAAGAAUUCUCCUUCUUAAAAUCCCCACUUUUCACACACUCAAACACCCUAAGAAACACGUACUGAACGCACGGAAUGGCAUCAGCAAGAGCAAGGCUCAUUUUUCGCCUGGUGUUGGUCACACUACUUCUUCUCCUGCUCUUCUACGUGGGUCGUCCUCUUUACUGGAAAAUAUCUGCUACCGUUCAUGAUAUCAGAGCUAAGAAGCAGACUGUCUCCGGAGGUUCCUUCUUUCUUUACGUUAAAUCUCCCCUUUUUCCUGUAGCCAUUUGAUUGUCAUCUGCAAUUUGAGCUAUUUAUGCGUCUUUUUUUUUUAUAUAUGGGUUUUAUGGUUUGUUUAUGUAGAAUAUGUUUUCAUCUACUGCCUGCAAUGAGUGCAUUUUGAAAUGGAGUUUAAGAAAAUUUAGUUCUUUUUUUUGUAGUUUUCUAUUGGGUCAGCAAAAAUCUGUGCUUUUGAUUACUGUACAAUUUGGAAAUCUGCAGGAUUGAAUUCAUGUAUAUUUGUUUAUAAAAUUUGUGCAUAUUGAGGUAGAGUAUGUCUUCAUCUGCUAUCUCUCAUUAGUGCAUUCUGGAAGGGGGUCUAAGAAAUAUUUAUUCUUUUUUAUUUGGGUGAGGUGAUUUGGGCUUUUUAACAUAGAGCAAUCUGAGAAUCUCGAGAAUAUUGGGGUACAUGUAUUUUUUACAUAUAAUUUGUGAAUUUUAAUGCGAUUUCGGUGAAUCUCUGCCUUUUUUUUGGCCGGACAAUCUAGGCAUAGCCUGAAUCUGUUCAAUUGUUUCUAUUGGUAUAAUGCUGAGCUAUUAUGCUAAUGAAAUUUUUAUAGGUUUUGGUACAUUUAUGAGGCGGGAUUGGGAAAAUUCAGUCUUUUGUUUUCGGGUAAUGUAGGAAUUUCUCAAUUUGUAUACGAGGCACAGAGAUCAGUGGGGUGGCUUCAUGGUAAGUCUGACUCCGGAAGGCCUGAUGGGAAAUCAGCAACUGCAAGAAGGCUUCUUGAUCUUUGUCAGGUUUCAUGAAAGCUGCCAGCUUUUUAGUAAAUCAUAGUGCACUAGUCAUGGUAUAGACGUAUGUAAAACUAGUAAAUUGAUGAGCAUUUUGUGAUGUUAUAUAUGGCAAUGCAGCAGUUGAGGUUUCUGUAGAUUCAAAUCUGUUGGAUUUGUUAGUAAUAGGAAUUUUGACUGUGCAUCAUAUAUCUACAAUUGAGGUUCACACUGCUGAAGAUGUUUAGGAGAAAUGGUCAUCAACUGAUGAUUGUGUCUAAUCUCCAUGUGGAUACUAGUAAAUUAAAGAUUUCAAUUAAGAAGCUUUCUCAUUUAUGCAGUGCUAGAUGGGUUCUAUUAGGUGCUUUUCUUUUCAUAUUUCUUCUCUUUCCUUUGUAAAUUUGUUCCAUUAAAUGUUUGACAUUUUUAUGCUUGCUGAGUUGAAAUUAGCGCUGUGAUUGUUUCCUCAUGAUUUUUGGUUUACACAGAAUGCUUAAAGCUUCAUGCAAGGUACAGCUUACAAUGCUUACUGAAGGGUUUUCUACCUUUAGAGUUAGUGAUUGGAUAAAUGAUCCGGAUGCAACAAAAAGGGAACUAAAAACUCUGUUUUGUUUAGUGCAUACAUUAAUGGUUCUCCAAAUAACCAACAGCAGAAAGACCGGUGACAUCUGAUGGCCUUGUUCUCUUGUGAUGGAAACUCACGUCCAACUAAAUUAUGACAAAACCCGAUGUAGCUGGGUGAUUUUUGUUUUAUGUUGUUUCUCAACUGCUAUAAUCUGUUUAAUGGAUUGUGGAAAUCCGGAAGUGGUAAAAAUACAUUUGGGCGGCAUUAGGAACAAUAACUACUGAUGCAAGCAGAAGACACGCUGCGUCAAAUGCAUAUGGUUCAUCAAGCCAAAAGGUCGUCUUAUUGUUUGCAUUCACCCUUAAAUGCCUAUUAUUCUCAACGAGCGCUCUACAGGUUUAAUCCCGAUUGGGACGAUCUGAAACAAAUCGUGCAAAAAUAUCGGAAACUGAGAAUUGUUUUGCAAUCCCCUUCGAGCUAAACUCCUGAAUCUUUCAACAUUUUUGUGUUAUUAUGUUUUCCUGCAAUGGACUGACAUUAAUGCCUCUAGUUAUCUCUUUCUUUUUCUGUUUUAGUCAACAUAAGAAAAUUUUUUUUCUCUUUCUAUGUUAAGUAGUUUGCAAAAAACCAUACUUUGAAGACUAGAAUACUAUGUUAUGACGUCUUUCUCAUUUUUGGAUGUUCUAGCAUCUGUAAAUUAUGAAGUCCUCAUGCUAUUUAUAACUGGUUGAUUGGAUCAAACAUCUGCUUUAACCCACUUGCAAAAUGCUAUUUUACAAAUUUAAGCAACACUAAAGUUUCUCAUAAGAUGUCCUGCAGCCUAGGGGCAUUAAGUUUCUUAUGACAACUCAAAAUCAGAGUUGAUACUUUGUGUAGAAUUUCAAUAUCCAUUGGCUAUAUAUUAUAGUAGUUAAUAGGCACUAUCAAUACUCUGCUGUGUUUUAGCAAUCCCUCAGUAGUAGGAGUUUGCUAGUGCCUGGCUGGCUGGAUUUAGCAGGUGUAUGCCCUAUCAGGUACCUGCCUUUAAAUUCAGUUGGAUGGGCAAAGCUUUUCUGUGACCUAUCAAAACCUGGCUCUUUGCAGAAUAUCAGCUAUUUUCAGAAGUUUGGCUGUGGUGUGCAUGGUAAUUUGUAUAUUAUUUUCUUUUUCUUUUUUCAGCUAAAUAAUCUUCAAAACCCUCGCAAUUCUGUAUAGCCAGUAUGGAAUAAAGUUUUCCAAAUGGUAUCAGUUCUUAAUCUACUUAUUCAGUAAAUUCUUACAGGAGCACAUGGUAGUAAUUUAAUGACAAUUACAAUGACAGCAAAGAUAAGAACGAAAAUAGCACACCAUUUGCUGGUUUUACUUUUUUUCUUCAUCUGGAGGUGAAAAUACUUGUAUCCUGCAUGAGUUGCCCUCAGAAUGUUGACUCCUGUUGCAGUUGACCACUCAUAUUUCAAAUGACAAGACUUCAGGAUGAAGAGUACUGCUCAGAGAUAAAUAGCUGCAACUGAGUAAACUUGGGGAUACCCGUUUAGAUAUAGCUUCAUGACCUAAAUACAAACUUGACCCACAUAUUAUUUCCUGGGUCGUAACUUAGAGAAAAGUUUCUAUUGUUAUGGGUCGGGGGAUGGGCUCUGAUCUAUAGAUACCAAAAGAGAAGGAAGUAUUUGCAUUCAUGACUUCUAUGUGUACCUGGAUAAUAAGGAUUCAUUGUGAGGGCUUUCAUUUGUACAGAUUUUGUGACUGGGUAAAUCAUACUGACCUGCAUUAAGGUUUUACCAUAAUUAAAAGGAUCCAUCUUGUUUGUCAUGCGUAUAUUUGCUUUUAUUCCCAUAACAACUGAAUAUGCAGUGCAAAAAUGUUUUUGAUUUCAAGUGACACAACUUGUGUGUCAGCAACGUACUCUGCUUGAGUGUCAAGACCAAUGUUCAAACGAUUUGGUUGAAUAAUUUGUUGCCCUAUCACCAUUGACAUAAUGGUCAAGAUAUAGAUAUUGUAGUAAUUAUUUAAGAUGUAUUGCAGGUCUUAGCCAUUGGCUUUAUGGGGCUGAAUUAGAUUAUAUAACUAUAUUUCCUUGAGCUAUGUUGGGGGAUUUGGCCAUUGUCCAACAUUGCUCCUUGUUAGUUGCCUGUGAUGUUGAAAGGCCAGAUUUCUGUGGUGGGAGUGAGGCUUUAGUAAUGGUUAAGUCCUCGUCAGAAUGGUGUUUUUUAGUUGUGCAAACCUCAUUAUGGCUUAGAUCAUUCAUUUGAUAGUUAGUAAUGGUAUGUCUAUGUUACAACCCUGCAGUUACAUCUUCAGUAGUUUGAAACACUUGGGAUGGGGCAUGAUCUUGCUCCAGAAAGAGCUUAUACACGAUGUUAUUUCAGGAAUUGAAAGCUAUAAUGGAUGUCAAUUUACCUUUCAGGUUUUCCAUCCAAUGGUGAGGCAACUUUUAUCUCAUAUAAAGAGUAAGUCAAGAACAACAAUGUCUUUCCUUUUCAUUUGACUUGUUCUAAGCAUAGCCAUAGGAAAUCGGACAGUUCUUGUCUAGGUCAUGCCGUUAGCUUAUGGGCAUACAAACAUGAGCUGAGUUCAUACUUGUGAUGUUUCAGUUAUGACCAUUAGCUAUAUUCCUAAAAGCCCUCUGAAAAUCAUUGUCAACCAGAAACUAUGUGAGGAUUGCUUAUGAUCAACUCAUGGUCAUCACUACUUCAUCACACACAAAAAGAAAUUAGUCAAGAUAUGAUGGGUAGAUUCGCUGACAUUUCUAGUGCUUUUUAGAAGUCAGUGCUAAUUUUUUAUAUGGAAGCACCAACUUUUCUGUCACUUUCAACCAUAUUUAUUGUAUGCAUCCAUUAACCCUUUUGCCUAUAUGUUGUCAUAUAUUUAUCUUGGAACCCUAUCUUUCUGACAAGGGAUAUGCACGGCCAUGAAUUUUAUGAACAGAUUUUUGUGGUUUAAGGGUGGCAAAGACUUCAGAUCCAUCAUUCUCCCUCCUCUUCUCACGCCGCCCUCCUUAUCUAUUAGAAAAGAGUUGAUUGUUUGGCUUGAAUUUCAUCACUAUGCUUAAUUAUCAUUGGGUAUAGGAAUCAGAAUUUUCCAUAAUAGGUCAGUUUCAAAUGUGCAAUAGGGCGUCUUUGCAUAAGAACGAGGAGAAAGUAGCAGAUAGAGUUAGCAUAUUCGUUUGCUUUUAUUAUGUGUUUACAUACCCAAUGAUGAAGGAAAGGUUGAGAUUUGACUAAUGUUAAGCAUUUGUAUUAGUGGUGGAAAGGAAGGUACCUUUCUUAGUGCCCAGCAAAACUUGAGAAGACUUGCUUCUAUAGCGUUCUCUACAUGAUUCCUUGUGACAAAAAACACUUCGAACCCCUUGUUCUUGAGCAUGCAUUUUGACUCUCCACCAUUCGGGAAAGAAAUGGUGCGGGCCUCAAACUCCAUUUCAUAAAGCUAAAAGCUUAUUCAGUGGAUUGGAUUAAGAUAAUCAACAUGCUCAAUGAACUCUCUGCUCCCCAAUAUUUGUUAAGAAACUAUAUAAUAAGUUGACCUUUUCUGCUUCUGUAAACAUCUUCUCCACCCUUUUGUCAAAGCAAAUCGUGGGGGAAUCACACAGAAAGUCGGUACUUUUUUGAAAAUUUGUGUAUGAUUCUUUGGGCCAAGCAUCUUCUUUAGUAUAAUAAUUUGAGGAAAUGUAAUGGUGUCCUGUAUAUUAGCUUAGUUGGUUAUGCUUUUGAGCUACUAUAGCUAGAGCUAGGCAGGUGCAGUUUACAGCAGGAAAGAUACAUUUAACAAAGAACUCUGCAGUUCCUUUCUGGUAAACACCAAGAUUCUGAUAAACAUAACAGAUGAAAGAAAACAAAAAUUAAUUAAGGGGGAAUAUUGUACUCAGGAGUCUUAUAUUUUAAUGUGUGUACUUUCUGAUCAUCAUUCAUAAAUUAGAUGGGCAGAACUCCCAAUCAACUGCUGGAAUUAGAGAUUGCGUUCUCCUAUUUAAAUACAAUCGAAAUCCCACAAGUAGCCUACUGUUGCUGUUCUCUACUAAUUUGCUGCCUAAAGCUAACAAUUGCAGGAUAAGGAAAUGUUUGCCAUCAUAGUUGUUUUUCUAAUUUCAGUGAAAAAGUAUUUCUCAGAAUCAAAGAGACAUUGGAGGCUGAUUAGUGAUGGCUCUGCCGAGCAAUAGAUGUUGUAUUGUUUAACACCAUAUGAUGUGAAGACACUUCUGAUACUUGGUUGUGCUUAAACUGAGUAUUCAUGAUUCCACAGUCAUUACUCUAGUCCUGAGGCGGCUCAUCUCAUCAUAUUACGCAGUAAGGAACCCAAAGGACGAGCGGUUUCUAUAGGAGCUGAUAAUGAGAUAAUGGUACCUAGCUAAUGAUAAGGGAAGGAAAAUUAAGGCAGAAUCUUGUGCUUUCGGAGCCUUAAGUUAUGAAUUGUGUACUUUCUAGUCAUCAAUCAAGAAGAGAACUCCCCCUCAGCCGUGAAAUUAAAGAUUGCACCUCAUGCUAAAAGAAUUUUCCUCCCCACGCCUAAUCCCACUUGCGUUGUUCUAUAUAUUGAAGCCAAAGUCUAGCUAUUGCAUAAUGAUUGUGCCAUUCCUUUAAGUUGUACCAUUCCAAGCCUAAGCCUAAGCCUAAGAGGUUUGAACACCUUUUCUAAGAGGAAGUUUAGGUUCAAACUUUCUUGCGACUGCCCCUCUUUGUUACAAAUGCUGGCGUCCUCCUUAUGUGUCGUAGGCAAUUUGUAAACAUCCCGUAAAACCUGACUCCCUAAGCCUUUGGCCUGUCAUGAUCUCUCAUUAUCCUAAACUUUUUCCGACCUCAAGAAUUAUGGAUAUUCAGAAUUCCGCAUUCAUAUUGUAAACUAGUCUUGAGGCGGCUCAAUGCCCUUCUUAUUCAAAACAGUGUCAGAUUCUUCCCCAAGGGUUGACAAUGAAAUGUGGUGUGAAAAUUAAUAUGGUACCAUACCAUCAAAGUAUCCUUAAUACUGGGCAUAUGUAGGAUCUACUUAUUAUGCCUCAUUCAAUCCGAUGGUUGGCAGGAAACGUCUACAUUAUGCUGAGUUACGUAAAGAAAAGGAAGCAGCAGUGGACCAACCAAAGAGCCAACCAAUUAAAGCUAGAAUGAGUUCUGGCACUUCUUACCUGUAAUUUUCCACGUGUUCUUGAUUAGGAGAAAGCAAAGUCAAACGAAAGAGUUGUGGGGUUUCGUUUCAUGAUUCUGAUGUCAUUUUUCUCGCACUGUUUUGCAUGUUUGCUGCUGCAAGGCAGGAGCAAGACAGGAGGAGCCAUUUUCAUUCAUGACCUUUCUUGAUUGGGUUUUCCACCUCUUUUUUAUUUCAUCUCCUUACUCCAUAUCUAUCUCCAUUCUUCUCACGGGAUCUUUGGCGUGUCAGCAGCACUUGGAGUGGAGCAUUUCAUUUUCAUGGCCGACCAUACAACACACUGAAUUUUCCUAGACGAAGGGUGCUCCAAACUGAGAAGCAAGAACUUCAGAAACGACUUGCCUUCUGAAGUUUCUUACAGUUUCACCCAUCUUUUCUCUAAUUUCGAAUUACGCUAACCUCCCUUAAAUUUGUUGUAUGGGACAUGAAAUUCUUAAAUUACUCUUCUUGUCAAACAAAAAAUAAAAAAUAAAACUUGGUCCAUUGCUCAUGUAUUAUUACUCAUUCCAAGAACUCGUACUAUUUUUUGGGUCUCUAAGGGUUAGUUCGAGCGAUCAGCUCUCCCUCUUUAGGAUAUGGUAGACUUAUCUGGAUAACCAAAGUUCGGGCCCCCUUGUUACCGUGCUCGGAGUGGAGUGGGGCUUCCUCUCCCGGGCCGGAGUGGAAUUAGUCCGAUCAAAGGCCCGAUACCCACUCCGUCAGAAAAAAAAAAAAAAAAAAACUAUUUUUGGCACUUUAGGUAUACAAAUAUAUCAUCCUCCUCCAUCACUAAAUAUGGAUUGAUGCAGCUAAGAACUCAGCAACUAUUGAAUCAAGUGACGACCAAAUGAACAAAAAGUUUAUGUCCCUUUUUUAUCCACAAUAUGCAUGGGCAUACCUGUCGGUCAGGGACAACAUCUGAUGUAAAUUAAAGGAUGUCUUAGUAGUAUCCUAAUCAGAUAAGAGACAAGAAUUCCAGCAACGUCUAAUCAUUGGAUUAGAAAUCAGAUGCCCUCCUGAUCACAUCUAACCAACGAAAUGAACCCCUCUUUAUUCAUUGAUUCUAAACUCAAACAGCGUUGCAAUUAACUUUGCGUUGCUUCUUUCUCCUGUUCUGAUCUUAAUCAUGCCGAAUAAAAAAAGAAAAAAAAAAUCUUUCUCAGGCCCUCUUUGCCGGGUAUGUUUUCUAAGCGUAUUCUAAUUCAUUUGAUUAUUUAUAUUACGAGAAACAGCUACCAUUCGAAAGAAGAAAAAAAAAAGAAGAAGAAGGGAUCAUUGAACUAAACUCCAUACAAGUUAUGCAUUUGUGUAAUAUUUGCACCUUUCCAGGUUUUGUACUUUUUUGUCUCACCCCUCCAUAUCAGUUGGAAGAUUUCGCACUUGUGUUGCCGUAUAUUUCUUUAGACUAUUCAUAUCAGUUGGAAGAUUUCGUACUUGUGAUACCGUGCAAUUCUUUUAAACUAAUACGUAAGAGCAUUACCAUGUGCAGCACCUCCUCUUGAUCGCAGAUGCUGACAAGCUAAGCCGCUCGUGGGCAACACUCGACUUGAAUUCGGAUUGAACUAAAUUCGAACUACGUAUUUUAGGUCUCGAGUCGAAUUCGAGUUCUCUUAUAUGCUACUCGACGUGUCUAAUUAAGUAGUUCUAUUAUUUAUAUAAUAUAUUUAUUUUAAUUAUGAAAUGAUCAUUAUGAGUUUGUGUUUUUAUCAAAAUUCGAGUUUUUGUUUGAGCACUUAAACUCGAUGAUAAAACUUGAGAACAAGAUAGAGUCGAGUUCGAGUUAUAUUUAUUACCCCUAAGAGUCGACGUCGAUGUCGAAUUCAAGUAAUCGAAAAUUCACUAAAUUUUAGAUCAAACAUAGCGCUACUCGAUCUCGACUCGACUCAACUCGCGAGCCCCCUUACUCUUGAUAUUUCAUCAAUUAAUUUAUCAAUAAAAAACAAGCCCCAAUAAACACUGGUGGUUCGAUUCUUUAGUUCCCAUGCAACCGACGAAAAUAUUCAACCAAAAAUGUGGGUAGUCCAGUUCAGACAUACACACACGUUAGACAAAAAAGAUAUUAAUUGAAGAUGCAGAGUCAAGUCAAAGACGAGCAACUAUGUCAAAGAUUCGUAUGUCUGAGUUGUAUGAUCACACACAGGAAUCAUAAUUGUCACCUUUAAAAUUCUUCUUCAACAUUCAUGUUUCUUGUUUUUUAGUAGUUAGUACAGCUGGUGAUAUCGAUCCCGAUCGAGUUCAACAUUGAUCGGCAAGUUUCGAUAGACUUAAUUUACACGUCAAAUGUUGUAUUAGAACCUUGCAUGUAUGGUGAUGUUAAAACAUCCAAAGAUAGUGAAAUAUUAUUAUGCUUUUAGAAAUACUUCACUCUUGCAUGUAUAUAUAGACUGCAAUUAUUGGUAGUAAAAAUUUUUACGUUUUUUGUGAUUAUAUUUUUUUAUCUCAUAUACAUCAAAUUGUUAUGAUAUUUUUUUUAAAUUUUUACAAAAACUCCUAAAAAUAGUAAUACCCCUGUAUUAUUGCUUGUUUUAGAUAAAUAGUGGGUCAAAUUGUGGACACAAAAUGGUUCUUUUGUUUUCUUCCAAGUCUAACCUCUCUAACUUACACCUACCCCGCAAAAAAAAAAAAAAAAAAAAAAUCCUCUAUUUGAGAAGAAAAAAAAAUCACUUUG
rnacentral:lncRNA from 1 species